UCUCCGUAGGUGAACCUGCGGAGGGAUCAUUACAAGUGACCCCGGUCUAACCACCGGGAAGUUCAUAACCCUUUGUUGUCCGACUCUGUUGCCUCCGGGGCGACCCUGCCUUCGGGCGGGGGCUCCGGGUGGACACUUCAAACUCUUGCGUAACUUUGCAGUCUGAGUAAACUUAAUUGAUAAAUUAAAACUUUUAACAACGGAUCUCUUGGUUCUG
rnacentral:misc_RNA from 1 species